UGCCACAGCCAUGUCACCCUGCAGCCCAAGACCGGUUACACACUGAAGCUAAGUAGGGCUGAGCCUGGUCAGUACCUGGAUGGGAGACCACUAGGGAACACUAGGUUGCUGUUGGGA
rnacentral:rRNA from 1 species